UGAGGAAUCUGUCCCGCUGAUCACAGUGAGAAUCCUUUGCAGAAUAAAAUCCCAGACACUACUUAACAAAGUUUCUAAAUUAAGAACCUUCAUAAACUUUACCAACACACACACGCACACAGACACACAAGAGAACAGGACAUCAGCAUGAGCUAAUUAACAACUUGCGUACGUACGAACGAAUUACCAUUUGCACCGAAGCACCAACACAACAAAGUAAACAAACUUACUCUAAAAAAAAAAGAAGAAAAAGAAGUAAACAAA
rnacentral:lncRNA from 1 species